rnacentral:rRNA from 1 species
UACGAAGGGGGCUAGCGUUGCUCGGAAUCGCUGGGCGUAAAGCGCACGUAGGCGGCUUGCUACGUCAGGGGUGAAAUCCUGGAGCUCAACUCCAGAACUGCCUUUGAUACUGGCGAUCUUGAGUCCGGGAGAGGUGAGUGGAACUGCGAGUGUAGAGGUGAAAUUCGUAGAUAUUCGCAAGAACACCAGUGGCGAAGGCGGCUCACUGGCCCGAUACUGACGCUGAGGCACGAAAGCGUGGGGAGCAAACAGG